GGACAAAAGGUCCACGAGCGCCACUUACUGCCCACGCGAGGUAUUUUAUUCUGCGCGCGCGUGUAGACACUCUCGCGCGCGCGAUUUUGCUCUGCGCGCGCGCGCAAACGCUGCCACGCGCGCGCAAACACCGUCUCACGCGCGAGAGGUGACAUGAAUUUCCUCACGCGCGCGAGCAGAAAUAUGAAUAUUUAAAUAAUCUCCUCCCACUGAUUAGCAUAACCAACGAGGCGGAAGUUUGUUUAGUCUGAAAUAAUCAGACACAGAUCUCAAGAGCAAUUGUUGAUAUCGUUGCUACGGUAACUGCAGCUGGCGUUUACUGACGAGUGGAAUGACUGAAGGUUGCACCUCUAUUGCUUACCCAUUUUUAUGAAAACAUUGUUUUUUAAUUGUUUAUUUCAUGGGCGAACUUGUUGAGAUUCGCAGACAGCAGAUGAGGAAUAAAUUGCUGAUCGGCGGCCCUUGUACGGAGGUUGUCACACACAGCCAACAAAACCACAUGGGCAACAUGGAAGAGCAAUUGCCAAAGCUUUUGGGCCUUUGCCUGGAUUUCAUCACACAGCAGCAAUAGGUCUCUAGGACUCUGGUUAGGUAGCCUGUAUACACUUUAUUUCUGGAAGGUGAUGUGGGUGUCAUGUUACUUCAGCAAGCAGCACAACGCAUACAGUUCAUAACAUUUCAUCCAGGCAAGUUUUUCUCAUUUUCAUUUAGGGAGCUGCCAAUCCCAAUAGUGGUAACACAAGUGCAGAGAUUUCAUGUAGACUAUGGAACUCAACUAAAGGGGUCACUAGUAACAUAAUAAUAACAGCAAUAGCAACACCACACGCACAAAGUAAAUUGAAUAAUUUUUGUGAUUCCAAAUGACCUAUUCUUGAUGAAGGCACAAUCUCUACAUUUCU